rnacentral:rRNA from 1 species
CAGGACGCUGUGAUCCCUUCGGGGUGAACUUGCCGCUGACGAGUGGCGGACGGGUGAGUAAUGCUUGGGAAUCUGCCCAGUAGUGGGGGACAACUUCCGGAAACGGGAGCUAAUACCGCAUACGUCCUACGGGAGAAAGUGGGGGAUCUUCGGACCUCACGCUAUUGGAUGAGCCCAAGUCGGAUUAGCUUGAUGGUGGGGUAACGGCCUACCAUGGCGACGAUCCGUAGCUGGUCUGAGAGGACGAUCAGCCACACUGGGACUGAGACACGGCCCAGACUCCUACGGGAGGCAGCAGUGGGGAAUAUUGCACAAUGGGCGCAAGCCUGAUGCAGCAAUGCCGCGUGUGUGAAGAAGGCCUGCGGGUUGUAAAGCACUUUCAGUAGAGAAGAAAAGCCUAGGGUUAAUACCCCUGAGUCUUGACGUAACCUACAGAAGAAGCACCGGCUAACUCCGUGCCAGCAGCCGCGGUAAUACGGAGGGUGCGAGCGUUAAUCGGAAUUACUGGGCGUAAAGCGCGCGUAGGCGGCUAGGUCAGUCGAAUGUGAAAGCCCCGGGCUUAACCUGGGAAUUGCACUCGAUACUGCCUGACUAGAAUAUGGGAGAGGGAAGUGGAAUUUCCGGUGUAGCGGUGAAAUGCGUAGAUAUCGGAAGGAACACCAGUGGCGAAGGCGACUUCCUGGCCCAAUAUUGACGCUGAGGUGCGAAAGCGUGGGUAGCGAACAGGAUUAGAUACCCUGGUAGUCCACGCCGUAAACGAUGAGAACUAGAUGU